rnacentral:rRNA from 1 species
AUUGAACGCUGGCGGCAGGCCUAACACAUGCAAGUCGAGCGAGCGGCGGACGGGUGAGUAAUGUCUGGGGAACUGCCUGAUAGAGGGGGAUAACUACUGGAAACGGUGGCUAAUACCGCAUACUAUCGGAUGUGCCCAUAUGGGAUUAGCUAGUUGGUGGGGUAACGGCUCACCUAGGCGACGAUCCCUAGCUGGUCUGAGAGGAUGACCAGCCACACUGGAACUGAGACACGGUCCAGACUCCUACGGGAGGCAGCAGUGGGGAAUAUUGCACAAUGGGCGCAAGCCUGAUGCAGCCAUGCCGCGUGUAUGAAGAAGGCCUUCGGGUUGUAAAGUACUUUCAGCGGGGAGGCGUUACCCGCAGAAGAAGCACCGGCUAACUCCGUGCCAGCAGCCGCGGUAAUUC